UGGGGAAUUGUUCGCAAUGGGCGCAAGCCUGACGACGCAACGCCGCGUGGAGGAUGAAGAUCUUCGGGUCGUAAACUCCUUUCGAUCGAGACGAAUGGCCUUUGGGCUAAUACCCUGAGGGAAUGACGGUACCGAGAGAAGAAGCCCCGGCUAACUCCGUGCCAGCAGCCGCGGUAAUACGGGGGGGGCAAGCGUUGUUCGGAAUUACUGGGCGUAAAGGGCUCGUAGGCGGCCAACUAAGUCAGACGUGAAAUCCCUCGGCUUAACCGGGGAACUGCGUCUGAUACUGGAUGGCUUGAGUUCGGGAGAGGGAUGCGGAAUUCCAGGUGUAGCGGUGAAAUGCGUAGAUAUCUGGAGGAACACCGGUGGCGAAGGCGGCAUCCUGGACCGAUACUGACGCUGAGGAGCGAAAGCCAGGGGAGCAAACGGGAUUAGAUACCCCCGUAGUCC
rnacentral:rRNA from 1 species